CACUCACCACUACAAAUAUAUACAUGCAAUUCUAUCCUAUAACCACAUCCGAAAAAUUAAGCUGGUAGAUCUUGAGAUUGACGAAAUCACCACAUGUACCUCUCUGUCGAUGGGCACACCACCUACCCUGAAAAGAACAACGUCAGUUAAUCCGAAAAUAAAUCUAGAAAAAUACGAACAUCCGUGCCAAACGAAGAACUCAAAUCCAGGUGGGCAGGUUCCACCGCAAGAAACUCUACAAGCUGAAUAGAAUUACACUCGGUUCGUUUUUAAGUAGAUUGCCCAAGUGGCCAUAACUAUUUGAGCUCUGAGGUCUUGGAAAGUAAUAAAGGUAGUAGUGAUAGGGUGAUAGCAGCUUAAGUGGUUGGAAUUUUGGAUGGGCCCAUCCCCGUUCAUUUCUCAAAGCACACGACACGGCACGAGAUCCCAGUCCACGAAAUAUCGCCGAGAAAUUUCCAAAUCAGCCGCCGCCGAUCCCGACCAUGUCCUCCGGCGACCUCGACGGCGCCGCCCUCAUCCUCUCCCUCCCCGAGGACGUACUCGCCCUGAUCUCCGCGCGCCUUUGCACCCGCGACCUCCUCGCGCUCUCCGCCGCCUCCCGCCGCCUCCGCCACGCGCUCUACGGCGGCGGCGCCGACAAGGCCUGGCUCGCGCAGUGCCGCCGCCUCCUCCCCUCGCCGCCCCACCUCCUCGCCUGGCGCGCCGCCGUCGGCGGAUCCUCCCUCGCCGUCUGCCGCUUCCUCCACUCCGCCGCGCCGCUGCUCGGCGCCCUCUGGGCCCACCAGAACCCCGAGCUCGGCAACCUCGUCGCCGCCGUCCCGGGCUUCCUCUCCGUCGUUGCCGCCCGCGCCAUCCCGCAGGAGCUCUCCCCGCGCCUCCGAUGGGCACCCGUCUUCGAGCUCCUCGCCGACGCCCACGGACGCCCCGCCAUCCUAUUCCUCCACGGCCACCAACCCGCCGACCUCUUCCCGGCCCGCCUCUCCUCCCUCCAGCCCCACGCCAACGUCCUCUUCCUCGAGGCCCAAACCGACCAGGACCCCAUCGCUGCCUCCUCCUCGCACCAGUUCCCCCGCCUCGCCUUCGGCGACCGCCGCCGCCUGCUCGACUCCCUCGUCGACGCCUGCCGCGUCACGCUCCCGCCCGACCUCGUCGCGGCCCCGCUCUUCGCGCGCUCCGAGGAGGACCUCCCGGUGCUCGCGGCGCGACGGGAGGCGAUGCUGCGGCUGCACAGGGAGGCUGGCGGGGGCAUGGUGCGCACGCCGGAGGUCCAGGGGCUCCUACUAGAAGCCAAGAAGAAGGCAGCGCCGUCGUCACCGAGCGACGGUGGGGAGAGGAUUCGCCUGCGGAGGAGCCUCUCCGCUGUAGCAGUGGCCGUCAGGAACGGCCUGCGCCAGAUGGUGACACGAUCAGUGUCAGCGAAUUCCAGGACUCAGUACAUCGACACCAAACAUCUGCUGUUGGCUGACUUCCUGCACACCGGUGAGAGUGUCGGCCUGAGCAUCCGCGGCGCGAGAAUGCGGCUGUCCACUUACCGUGCAUGGCCGAGCAUGCAUGACAACCGCUUUGCGCUCUACAAGCUCACGGUGCAACCGCCCGUGCCAGGAAGGGAGU
rnacentral:lncRNA from 1 species